rnacentral:lncRNA from 1 species
CGCCUGGAGAUCCCCAUGUAACUGGCUGGAGUUUUUAGUACCAAUAAACUGCAAACGUUAUUAGGUUUCAGAAGAUCAAAAGAAAACUUUAAGAUGCCUGGAGAUCAUUGAUUUUGUGAACGCAGAUUCGCAAAUUGACAAUGAAUGUGCUGCUAACUUGGUGGGAGUUUUCCUUGUAUUCCUAAAAAAUCUGUCAUGAUUACUGACUUGAGCGCUAAAAGCAAAGUCAACUUUUAGGAAAUAAUCUUCAAUCUGUUCAUCCUAUUGAUUUUGAACACACCGCCUCAAGAUUCCUCAUCAGCCUCCAAUAUACCAGUUCUCUUCAUUCUUGAAAUCCCUAGCCAUAUGUCAUUCCCACUGGAUCUUGACACGUGAUUUGGCUCAGAUUCUUUCUGAAUAUCUCUAGCUGUACUUAAAUAAUUCUAAAUACAUCUGAUGGAAGGUUAAAACA